GUCUACAGCCAUACCACCCUGAAUACACCAGACCUCCUCUGAUCUCAGAAGCUAAGCAGGGUUGGCCCUGGUUAGUACUUGGAUGGGAGACUGCCUGGGAAUAUGGGGUGCUGUAGGCC
ensembl:rRNA 5S_rRNA 5S ribosomal RNA